rnacentral:rRNA from 1 species
CUAUACAUGCAAGUCGAGCGAACAGACGAGGAGCUUGCUCCUCUGACGUUAGCGGCGGACGGGUGAGUAACACGUGGAUAACCUACCUAUAAGACUGGGAUAACUUCGGGAAACCGGAGCUAAUACCGGAUAAUAUAUUGAACCGCAUGGUUCAAUAGUGAAAGACGGUUUUGCUGUCACUUAUAGAUGGAUCCGCGCCGCAUUAGCUAGUUGGUAAGGUAACGGCUUACCAAGGCAACGAUGCGUAGCCGACCUGAGAGGGUGAUCGGCCACACUGGAACUGAGACACGGUCCAGACUCCUACGGGAGGCAGCAGUAGGGAAUCUUCCGCAAUGGGCGAAAGCCUGACGGAGCAACGCCGCGUGAGUGAUGAAGGUCUUCGGAUCGUAAAACUCUGUUAUUAGGGAAGAACAAAUGUGUAAGUAACUAUGCACGUCUUGACGGUACCUAAUCAGAAAGCCACGGCUAACUACGUGCCAGCAGCCGCGGUAAUACGUAGGUGGCAAGCGUUAUCCGGAAUUAUUGGGCGUAAAGCGCGCGUAGGCGGUUUUUUAAGUCUGAUGUGAAAGCCCACGGCUCAACCGUGGAGGGUCAUUGGAAACUGGAAAACUUGAGUGCAGAAGAGGAAAGUGGAAUUCCAUGUGUAGCGGUGAAAUGCGCAGAGAUAUGGAGGAACACCAGUGGCGAAGGCGACUUUCUGGUCUGUAACUGACGCUGAUGUGCGAAAGCGUGGGGAUCAAACAGGAUUAGAUACC